GAAGGGCCCAUGGAAGGUGAAAGGGGCUGGCAGAAAGUGGGUGAUGGAAGGUAAGCAUUUCAAGCAGAGGAGAAAAAAAAACGUGCAAAGCCCUGGAGGAGAGAGUGAGGAGGGACUGGCUGACAGUGGCCAGCUGUGACUGGAGCAGAGAAUGAAAUAAGAGAAAACUGCAAGGUCUAGAUCCUGAAGGAGUUUAAACGUGAUUCAAAGGGCAAGAUAAUGGUAAUAAUCUGAUUUGGAUUUUUCAAAGAUAAUCCUGGUUGUUGUGUGAAGGAUGAAGGGAGCAAGAUGAAAACAGGGUGGUUAAUGGAUAAGCAAUAUUGUAAUGCUGAUAUGCAGGGACAGUUGUCCAAAUUGAUGAAGAGGCAAUGGGAAAAGAGGGAAGUGACAGGAUGAUGGUGACUAGUAGGAAGAAGAAUAUACAAAGCGAGAGUCAGAGAUCAAUGUUGAUAUGAUAGUGGAAGGAGCAGAGGACUCUGAACACAUGAUAAUGUUGCCAACCCUGGUUUUGCUGUUAGGUUGGUGUGUGGUUAUUAUCUAUGCAGGUUUAGUUUUACCUGUAAACUGGAUGGUAAAACUCAGAUUGACAUAUAUACACUACCAUGUAUAAAAUAGGUGGCUACUGGAACCUGCUGUAAACACAGGGAGCUCAGCUCUACACUCUGUGAUGACCGAGAGGGGCGGGUGGGAGAGAGGGAGGUCCAAGAGGGAGGGGAUGUAUGUGUAUGCAUACCUGAUUUACUUCAUUGUACAGCACAGACUAACACAACAUUGCAAAGCAAUUAUACUCUACAAAUGUUUAACAAUGAAAUAAAAUCUGUUAUCUAUACAACAAAAUAAUGAGACCCUGCCUGUGGAAGUGUUUUGUAACUCUGCAGAGCUUUAUGAAGGAAAGGCGUUCACCUAGAGAUAGAAGCUACAUAACCACAGUCCAAUUUUCUUUGCCUCAGCAAUCUAAGGAUUGGAGUACUGUUAGGACCAUUUACAGAUGGAAUUUCAGAGGGUCCACAUGGAGAAGGAUCACUUUCUACUCUGGUGGAUCAACCUCACAAGGAAUGCACAGUGGUGCCUCCCCCGAUGAGCCCACCAUUUCCCUCAAGGUGGGUUCAUUAUCACCACACCACCCAGGAAGCCAGAAAUGACCUUGAAUCUACAAGAAAAACUUCAAAGAAGGAACCAAAGUUUCAAUAAAUCUUCCU